ensembl:lncRNA
GCGAGGCAUCUAUCAAUCAAGAUAUACAGGAAGUACAGCAGGCUACGGCAGUGGGAAGUUGAUUAGUUUGUGGAUUAAAAUAUGGCGUUCUGCUAAAUUUCUGCAGUUCAUCUGGAAAAAAUCUGGAGGUUUUAAAAGAGACGAUAUAAAACGACUGCGCCCGUGUCCACCAGUGGUGUGCAGAGCGAGGCUUCGUGGUACACUGAAACAGGACAAGCAAAUGUGCCAUAUUGUCUCGAGGCUUCGAAACAAUCCGACACCCGUCUCCACGGUGACACCUAGUGGUCACUUGCAGGUGUUGCUAUGAAACAACCUUGACAACGAUUCAGAUAAGCCUUAACGAAUUAUAACCCACAUGUUGUUUGUGUCAAACAAGGAAGUGUGUGGGGGAGUCGAUGGUGUUUUCAAAUGGUAUGCUGCUGCCUUGGGUUUGAAUCCUGGGUGAAGUGUGCCUGUCCACAUCAUUCUAACCCAAAACCAGGAGAAAAACGAACCAACAUAAAUGGCUCCGACUUCCUACUAACCACUAUUACCAGUGCACUAUUUGCAAAGGUGAAUAUUAAUGUGUGUUAGAUAACAAAGAGCAUAAAUAAAGUCACAAACAGGCAGAAGGUCAUACACAGGUUAAAUCAACAUACGUAAAGAACUCCUUAAACACAAAGCAAUGGCAAUGAUCUGCCAGGGGAUGGAGACUGACGCGCCUUAAGUACACCUCCGGAAACGUGCAGCCAACCAAUCCUAUUGCACAAGGCCGGAGCAGGCGUGGACAAGAUGUGAUCAUCCAGUGGCAAGCCAGAACGUGACACAUACAGUAGGUGGGGCCUAGAGAAGAGGGAGGAGACAAAAAGCAACCAUCCCACCACUGCCAUAGACACACGAAUGGCAUUUCGAGCAAACAUAAAUACACUGAAGAACGUAACAAGAAUGCAAGAAGAAUGGAAUGCAACAUGUUUUACAUGUAAAAUAAAACACGUUAUUUCAACCUAGUUCUCUUGUUCAAAGUAGUUAUAGUGUUCAGAAACAUUUGUGAUAUUUCAUGUUCCAUACCUGUCCAUUAUAUAGUUUUAUAAAAGUCAUAAAAGUUAUAAAACAAUCAUAAAAGUUUUUUUCACAAAAACACAAAAGCAAAAAAAAUCUAUCAAAACAGAUUAUACAAAUAUAUGUGGAUUACCUUAACUUGUACACACAGGAAUAAUAAAAAUACAUACAUAUGUAAUACAUAUGUAAUUAUUUUGAAAAAUCAACCAAAGGACAGACAAAGAAUUUCUUGAUUUAUUUCAACAUUUAUUUCAACUGCAAAUAUCACAACCCUCUUUUGAACUCUUCACUUUCCUAGCUUUGCAGGCCUGUAAAAUAUUCUAAUGAUACAUUUGUAGUCCAACAUCCUUGGCGACCUAAGGCUGUGUUCACACAAAUUUUUGGAAGCAAACAGCACCUGAUUUGCAUAAUAAUCUUAUGGAGUAGACCAUAUUUUCAAAAAUGAACUAAGCUUCUUUUGGGAUGCGCUCAACUGCAUUUUGCAACAGCAUUUUAUUUUAUAUGAAAAAACGCUUUGAUCUGCGAUUUUCAUCAGAAAAAGACAUUACGUGCGAACACAGCCUAACUUUGUUUAGCUACCAAGCCCUGUUAAAUACUAAGCUUAGUUCUGUUGAGGUAUGUUUAUGUAACCUCAACUAACUAGCUUCACUGGCU